rnacentral:rRNA from 1 species
AUACGGAGGGGGCAAGCGUUAAUCGGAAUUACUGGGCGUAAAGCGCACGCAGGCGGUUUGUUAAGUCAGAUGUGAAAUCCCCGGGCUCAACCUGGGAACUGCAUCUGAUACUGGCAAGCUUGAGUCUCGUAGAGGGGGGUAGAAUUCCAGGUGUAGCGGUGAAAUGCGUAGAGAUCUGGAGGAAUACCGGUGGCGAAGGCGGCCCCCGGGACAAAGACUGCCGCUCAGGUGCGAAAGCGUGGGGAGAAAACAGGAUUAGAUACCCUGGUAGUCCACGCCGUAAACGAUGUCGACUUGGAGGUUGUGCCCUUGAGGCGUGGCUUCCGGAGCUAACGCGUUAAGUCGACCGCCUGGGGAGUACGGCCGCAAGGUUAAAACUCAAAUGAAUUGACGGGG